rnacentral:rRNA from 1 species
AUUGAACGCUGGCGGCAUGCCUUACACAUGCAAGUCGAACGGUAACAGGUCUUCGGAUGCUGACGAGUGGCGAACGGGUGAGUAAUACAUCGGAACGUGCCUAGUAGUGGGGGAUAACUACUCGAAAGAGUGGCUAAUACCGCAUGAGAUCUACGGAUGAAAGCAGGGGAUCGCAAGACCUUGUGCUAUUAGAGCGGCCGAUGGCAGAUUAGGUAGUUGGUGGGAUAAAAGCUUACCAAGCCGAGGAUCUGUAGCUGGUCUGAGAGGACGAUCAGCCACACUGGGACUGAGACACGGCCCAGACUCCUACGGGAGGCAGCAGUGGGGAAUUUUGGACAAUGGGCGCAAGCCUGAUCCAGCAAUGCCGCGUGCAGGAUGAAGGCCUUCGGGUUGUAAACUGCUUUUGUACGGAACGAAAAGCCCUGGGUUAAUACCCUGGGGUCAUGACGGUACCGUAAGAAUAAGCACCGGCUAACUACGUGCCAGCCGCCGCCGUAA